GACGAACGCUGGCGGCGUGCUUAACACAUGCAAGUCGAACGGAAAGGCCCUGCUUUUGUGGGGUGCUCGAGUGGCGAACGGGUGAGUAACACGUGAGUAACCUGCCCUUGACUUUGGGAUAACUUCAGGAAACUGGGGCUAAUACCGGAUAGGAGCUCCUGCUGCAUGGUGGGGGUUGGAAAGUUUCGGCGGUUGGGGAUGGACUCGCGGCUUAUCAGCUUGUUGGUGGGGUAGUGGCUUACCAAGGCUUUGACGGGUAGCCGGCCUGAGAGGGCGACCGGCCACAUGGGGACUGAGAUACGGCCCAGACUCCUACGGGAGGCAGCAGUGGGGAAUAUUGCACAAUGGGCGGAAGCCUGAUGCAGCAACGCCGCGUGCGGGAUGACGGCCUUCGGGUUGUAAACCGCUUUCGCCUGUGACGAAGCGUGAGUGACGGUAAUGGGUAAAGAAGCACCGGCUAACUACGUG
rnacentral:rRNA from 1 species